rnacentral:rRNA from 1 species
UACGGAAGGUGCAAGCGUUAAUCGGAAUUACUGGGCGUAAAGCGUGCGCAGGCGGUUUGCUAAGACAGGUGUGAAAUCCCCGAGCUUAACUUGGGAAUUGCGCUUGUAACUGGCAAGCUAGAGUGUGGCAGAGGGGGGUGGAAUUCCACGUGUAGCAGUGAAAUGCGUAGAUAUGUGGAGGAACACCGAUGGCGAAGGCAGCCCCCUGGGUUAACACUGACGCUCAUGCACGAAAGCGUGGGGAGCAAACAGG